UUUCUUGUGGGCUUUGGACUGAGAGCUGGGCUCCUUGCUGACAGUGGCUGUUGGGCGUGGCUCGCUUCUGCCUGGCCUUUAGGUGUGGCAGCUUAUUUCAUGAGCAGAAGCAAAUGAACCAGAGAGAAGUCUCACAGUCUCAGGUAUUCCAGGAUGGCAGCACAAGGCUCGGACACUGGCAUAAAGACGAUACUUCGUCACCCCCUCAUCAGAAAUCCAGGCUAAUCAUCUGACUGAGAAUAAGCAGACUACUCUGAGGGAGGAAGAUAGCAACAGCAGCCUGCCUUUUGUUCUCUCUAAGGCCCCAUUUAAAACCAGAAGACAAUGAAGUAGUAAUUCCAAACUAGAAAAACAAGCGACAACAGGAAGGAGCUCUGGGGCCCAAGGAUUCUGUAGCCAAGGAAACUUCCUUAACACAAGCCAUCCGGUGCCAGUGCCUGGCAGUCAUGGAAACUUGGGGACCUUCACCCAUGACGCGAUCCCGAGGGACUCUCGAGCGUGGGCUAUAGCCACCAAACCACAGGGACUCCUGGCUCGGUGGAAGGUGACCAAGGUUCAAGGGAAGGGUGGAUGCCACAUGCUCAGUGGACGAAGAGAGGACACUGCCGACAAACUUGCCAGCCUUCCAGAAGGUGGGAAGGGUAGGCAGAGCUCCCCAGUACUGGGGGUGGAGCUGGGGGAACCAGGGACGUGCAGGAAGCAGAGGGAUGCUGAAGACUGGCUCAGACCCAGUACCAAGGGCCAGCACUGCGGGUUAAAUCAAGUUACAAAAGAAAGGCACAGAGAAGUGUCUCACCCCAUCCACAGCAUCUAGAAAAAUAAAGAAUUGUUGCAUUGCUGUACUUAUAAAAGUAGCCAAUAAGACAAAAGCAUGCACUUCAAAAAUAAGAAGUAUACACGAGAAGCAAAGAAGACAUUAUAGAAUGGAAGACUUUUUGAAAGUACUUUUAAACACUGAAAUAUAACGUAAAAUACUAUGGUAGCACUUGUUGUUAAUUGCCAGAUAAAAAUAGGAUCCAGUUACCUACUAAAAGGAAAAUGUCUUCAGACUGGAUCGCAAAGCAAAAUCCAACUCCAGAGUAUGCCUAGGAGGGAAGGCCGUAAAAAUGCCUCUGAGGAUUGAAAAUUAAAAGAUGGGCAGAAGACAGUUUGGCAAAUGCAAACAAGAGGAAAGGCUGGUCGUGAUUUAAAGGGGACCCAGGAGAACUCUUUAAUGUGACAUAAACUCAUUCUCCAUGCACCAAGGACCACCAGUGGAGUUCACAGAACAGGUCUAGGAAACCAGAGAGACACAGUCACAGCCCAGAGCAGGAAGGGAUUUUAAUUUGCCUCCAAGCACCGGACAAAUCCAUGGGACAAAACAAAUGAGGAUCCGUAGUCAUAGGCACAGUGACACAGAAAACCGGAAAAAGACGUUUGAUCGCACACAAGACACAGGGCUGACCUUCCUGACAUGAAAGCCCUCCUAGCAAUGAAGGUGUCUUAGUUAUUUUUUUUAUCAUUGAUGCUCAAAAUGGAGGAAGGAAAUCUUACAGUUCUUGUGGGUUUUAGUCCAUAUUGAGUUGGCUCCAAGGCAGCGUGGCGUUUCGGGGCAGCCAUCCCCAGCAGCCACAAACAGCAGAGCUAGCCAGCAAGAGAAAAAAGCCACACCUUCUUCCCCACCCUAACCCUUGCACUGUAUGCCGGCUCCACCCCUGGGCGGUGCAGCACUUACACCACCAAUCCCAGGACCUGACAACAAACCAAUCACGAAUGGUAGAUUGAGCCACGUCCCUGAUUGCGUGAGGCUUAAGAGGAAGCCAACACAAACCAUAACAGAAGGCAAAUGUAAAGCAUUGAAAAGAAAAAUCAGGUGGAGGAUACAGGUUCUUAACCUUUUUUUUUUUUUUUUUUUUUUUUUUUUUUUUUUUUUGAUACCAUGAAUCCAACUCAGGUCCUCACGCUUGCCAGGCAGGUGCUAUGCCACUGAGCCAUAUCCCUGGCCCUCUUAAACCUAUUUUAAAAUCUUAAAUUUAUAAAAAUUAUAAAACUUAAGCUAAUUUUAAAAAGAAGUUUAUUACAUAGCAAAGAAACAACCAACAGAGUAAAGGGACAACCUACAGAAUGGGGAAAAAUUACCAGUUACUGCUCAGACAGACUAGUAUCUAGAAUACAGAACUCAACAUAGAGCUCCAGAAUAAAGGACCAAUCAGAAAUGAGCAAUUGACAUGAAUAAACCCUUCUCAGAAGAGGCACAAAUGGUCAAUAAAUACAUGAAAAAAUGUUCCACACUACAAAAUGCAGACUAAAAUCCCACUGAGAUUCUAUCUUACUCCAGAAAGAAUGGCUGUCAUCAAGUAACCAAAUAAUACCAAAUGACCCAUGAAAGUACAAAAAAUUCCCUAUGCUUUUCAAUCCUUUUCUACUUUAAAAAUUUCAGGCUGCGCAUAGUGACCUAUGACUGUCAUCCCAGCACUUGGGAAACUGAGGCUUGAAGGUUGCCAUGAGUUCAAGGGCACACUAGGUCACAUAGUGAUCCAAGGCCAGCCUGAACUACAGAGCAGGACUGUGUCUAAACAAACAACAACAGCCAAAAAAGAAGAAUGAAGAUGUUUUGCAUAUGCGGACUGACUCCCUAUGGUAAAUGGGAUCAUUAGGUACUGCAAACAUGCUAAUUAAAAAACCAGCUUCAAAAAAGAAA